rnacentral:ncRNA from 1 species
UAUUUCAGCGCCGGGACCGUAUCGGCAUAGCGGUUGACGAGGAUGGGGAGCAUCGAAAUAUUCGGCGGAUGUCCCACGGCCGGCAGGUCGUAAACGAGCGUUUAAAACCCGAAAGCGAUUUCGGAACAGAGGCG